rnacentral:lncRNA from 1 species
UGAUCAUGAACUGAUUAGUUAAGAGAAGGAGAGGGGGCCAGACUCCAACAAAAGUCAGAUUUUGGUUGAAGUCAGAGAGAGGUUGUGAGAUUGCCAUCCCUUGACAUCUUUUUAAAAGUGAAUUGUUUAAUCACUUUUUUUUAAGCUGAUUUCUUAGCCAUCUUGCAGAAAUAUGAGGCAGGGGCACUUAUCCAUUAGGUACAGUAGGUAAGGUAACUAAGCCCAAUGACACCCUUAGCAGCCCAUGAAAAUGGUUUAGUUUCUUUCAUAAAAUGGUGCUGAAGAUAAUGAUAGUUGCAAAGGAAAAAAUACGGUAGACCAAUAUCAUAGUAUGUUACCAAGCAUAGGGCCUAUUAUUGGAAGCUAUUUCCAGUGCUCAGGAUAUUAACAUCUCCUGGAGCGUCUGCAAAACACAUCUUGAAGGCAGAACCAUAGUCCUCAAUUUGGCCUGCCUCUUUUAUUUGACAAUAAAGUUUUAUUUAUUUCUGAGCAUAAGAUUGGGAUUUUAUUUCUAGAAAAAGGGAGAAAAGGUGGAAGGAGGAGGAGGCAGGGAAAAGGUGGAAACUUGCCCAGGCCCAUAGCAGGAGCCCAACACAGGGAACACUUAAGCUUGUGUAGAGUACUUGUAACCAGAAGCCCGGAGGUGGAGCACAGCAGAGGAUGCAAUGUGCCACUGUCGCGGCCAGAGCCCAUGCAGUGUAAACAUUAACAUUCUUGGAUGCACUAAGCACUGGGCUGCGGUCUACACUUGCAUUCUGAGGUGGUGGAGUCAUGGCCAAAAUUUUGGAGUACUUGGACUUUUCUCAAGAAGCGUUGCACUUCUUGUCCGGACCGGGGAUUACCGCAGAUCGCAGCCCAGAGUCUGCGGAGGCGCACCGUUUCAUCAACAGCAGGGACUGAAACUUCAGCCCAGGAGAAGCCAAGAUGGCACCGUUAUCGCACCCUGGGAAUCGAGGACCGGGAAGAACUUAAUGAUGCGAUUCCUCCCGUGAUCUCAGUGAUUGUAUCAGGCGAAAACGAGGAGGGCAAAAUACCGUCCAGAUGUAAACUAGGAGCAGCCGCACCAGCAGCACCAGCAGAAUGCCGUGGUAGUGCGGCAGGCCCUGGCCCCAUGGACAAAGAGAAACUCGUCAGUGGCAGUGGCCACGAACUCAGAAAGCCUGAGGACAGUCAGCAGCUCCUCUGGCUCUUCACUUUCACACUGGUGCAACUACAGGAGCUGAAGAACAUUUUUCAACUCGUUCCAUACCCGGACGUGUUAGGUAAGUGGCAUGCUUAGGCGGCACCGACUUUUCACGGAGCAGGGGCUGGGCUCAGGGCUUAUUCUCUUUCCCCAGGCCCCUUCCAAACCUUUCUGAGCCAAAAGCUACCUAGGGGUUUCAAGGCUGCUGGGGCCUGUUUGCCCUUGGGCUUCAGGGUGGAGGCAAUGCCUCCUGGACACCAAGGUAAAUAUUUUCAAGCAACAUUUAAAUGAAUCAAGUGGGGAAACUUUGGCCUGAUAACUAGGUUUGUAUAAAUAGAAUUUGAUUGGAACAAGAACCAUGAUCAGGGUGAGGAGAGUAAGGCAUGGUCGUGCAAGUGGAUGGGCAAAUUCUGGUUUUAUGUAAAUAUUUGAUAAUUUGCUCAUAAUAUUUUUGAUUUUUCAGAGUAGUGCAAAAAGUGUUAUUUUUCUGGAAUCCUGAGUUUUUUUGUGCCCCCUUACAUUCACUAUGGGGGAAAAUCAUUCCUAAAGAAAGCCUCAAUCUGGAUAUUACAAAAUAGUGUACUCGGGGAGAGGUGUUGGGAGGUAAGUAUUUAAAAGCAAGCUUGAAAUGAACAACAUAAAUUUUGUUUCAUCCACAACUCUAAAUACUGAAUCUUUGUGGUUUUCUCUCACCAGAAAGGGACUUGUAAGAUGCAUGAGCAUGACUGAAACCAGUGUGCAGGUCACUAUACCUGAAAAAACUUAUUUGGCAGGGCAGCCAUUCUACAAUCUGCUUCAAGAGGAUCAGAUUCAUCAUUGGACUCCUGGACCUAUCACUGCGGACCUCAAAUGUGCACCUUUUAAGCCCUUUCCUUCACUCCUGACUGAUUGAUUUGGGAUCCACUGCUAAGUCAGACUUUUGAACCAUUGUUCCAGGCAAACUUCUGUUAAAGCUGUUUCAGAUGAGUUUCCAAUGUUUAUAUUCUAGUUGGACCACAAAUAACGAGUCUCAUCUCAGCACCCGAAGGUUAGUAAUAGAUUUCAAGCAGGCAGAAUAGAAAUUAGAGGAAGAUGGAGAGCUUUAAAACACUCUGCUUAACUUUCUAGUUGCAGGUUACCACUCGAGCUCUGAAUUUUUCUUGCUGUAAUUUUCUCAUCAUUUAAAAAUGUGCACAAAAAUACGUCAUAAUAUGUAACCAGCUGUAAUUCCAAAGAGAAUUAAAAUAUGAAGUUCCUGGCAGGCUUCUGUGAAGGAGCUGGGUUUUAAAGGAGAGAAAGAGAAAGAGAAGGAAAGAGAAGGAGGUUUGUGACCCUUCCAGCCCCUGCAUGGUGUGGGUUUGGUACCCCCACCACUCUCAUUUACCUCCUGUCAGGGAGAGCCCAAGUACCCUAGACCUGCACAAUGUAGGAUGAAUCCCUCCCCACUCCGCAAGUCACUGGUUGAAGUGAACUGUUUCCAGCUGGAGGGAGCUAAAGAUACAUUUGCCUGAGAGAAGUAACGAUGUAGGUGGCUUUGCAAGAUAAAUCAGGAAGAUGAAGUCGUAAGUGAAAAGGAAAGGAUGAAAUCAGGAUCCACACACAAAGGUCAAACACUCACACUUACAAACAAAUGGUGCACUUCUGAACAAAACCCUGGUUAAGGGGCUAGGUAAAAUCCUGAAUG